CGGCGGCGUCGGGUGCACUCGGCCUCGCCCGCGGCCCUCCAGCCCCCGGCUCUCGCUCGCUGAGCGCUCAGUGCGCCGCCGCCUCCGCCGCCUCCGCCGCCGCCGCCGCGCCUCCGUUCGCUGACUCGGAGAUUGCCGAAGAUGGCGGAAGCUCACCAAGCCGUGGCCUUCCAGUUCACUGUCACCCCAGACGGUAUCGACCUGCGGCUGAGCCAUGAAGCUCUUAAGCAAAUCUAUCUGUCUGGACUACAUUCCUGGAAGAAGAAGUUCAUCAGAUUCAAG